GUAUAGCAAUAGCUACUUGCAUCAUUCUAAAUAUGAUGCAAGAUCGACUAUGUCGAAUAAAAUUCUAGGUAGAAUUAUGAUAAUGACAUUGUCUGCCUAUGUGUCUUGACCAAAUUACGUGCCAGCAGUCGCGGUAAUACGUAGAAGACUAGUGUUAUUCAUGUUUAAUCGGUUUAAAGGGUACCUAGACGGUAAAUCAAGCCUAAAAGGAAAUAAAUGAAGGGACUAAUUUACUAGAGUUACUUAUGAGGGGGUAUUAAAGUACUGCUGGUGUAGAGAUGAAAUUCUGUCAUACCUCUUUUCAAUAGAAAAAUAAUGGCACAGGUAUAGGCGAAAGCAUCCCCUUAUGUGAUAACUGACGUUGAGGGACGAAGGCUUUGUGUAGCGAACAGGAUUAGAUACCCCAGUAGUCAAAGCAGAAAAUGAUGAAUGUCAUAGAUUAGAUAUAUAAGUUUAUUCUAUAAAUGAAAGUGUAAGCAUUCCACCUCAAGAGUAAUUUGGCAACAUUGGAACUGAAAUCAUUAGACCGUUUCUGAAACCAGUAGUGAAGUAUGUUGUUUAAUUUGAUGAUCCGCAAAAAACCUUACCACAAUUUGAAUAUUUAUAUCUUUUAUUGUUUUUCUUUUUAACUUUCUUCUGAUUUUCUACUUAAAAGAAAACAAUAACAAGAAAAAAGAGGCAAUAAGAUAUAUUUACAAGCGUUGCACGGCUGUCUUCAGUUAAUGUCGCGAGACUCUGGUUAGUUCCAUUAAAUUAACGUAAACCCUUACUUUAUUUUUAUAUAGAGUAGUUCCCCGCUAUAUUGGAUAUGAUAACAGGGACUAAGACAAGUCAUCAUGGCCUAAAAUAUUGUGGGCUAUA
rnacentral:rRNA from 1 species